UCACUUACCUGGACGGGGUCAACGAGAGAUCAAGAAGUCUCAUGGCCUAGAUCGGUGGCCUACAUUGCAUCUUGUGAGCGCGCAUUGGUUUACCAUCUCCUUUCAGGAGAGUAGACGUCAUAAUUUGUGAUAGAGGGGAUACGUGUUCACGCGGCCCCUGC
rfam:Triticum aestivum genome assembly, contig: Triticum_aestivum_CS42_TGACv1_scaffold_569628_7AS